rnacentral:sRNA from 1 species
AAAUAAAAACAAAAUCCAAGAUAUUUAUUUAGUUGUAGUAGUUGUUAAUUUACUAAAUUACUCAUGCAAAAAUUCAUUUAGUUAGUUUUAAACUACCCUUACAAUGUUGUAGUUCACACAAUGCUUCCCAAUUAAUAAUAUAGAUAAACCAACCCAAGAUAAAUAAUCGUACUAACAUCAUACUAUCAUAUAUUAUGAGAGCUCUUACUUUU